GCAAGUCGAGGGGCAGCGAUUCUAACUUGUUAGAAGUCGGCGACCGGCGCACGGGUGCGUAACGCGUAUGCAACUUACCUUUCACAGGAGGAUAGCCCGGGGAAACCCGGAUUAAUACUUCAUGGUGUUAUAAUACGGCAUCGUAUAAUAACUAAAGAUUUAUUGGUGAAAGAUGGGCAUGCGUCCAAUUAGCUAGAUGGCGAGGUAACGGCUCACCAUGGCGAUGAUUGGUAGGGGUCCUGAGAGGGAGAUC
rnacentral:rRNA from 1 species